rnacentral:lncRNA from 1 species
UUCCUGUCUCUAUGUUUCCUCUUUCCUUUCUCUGUGGCUUCUACUUCCUGUCACCAUGGGCUGGUUAAUCUGUACACAUCUCUAUGGCUCAUCUUUCCAGUCUGUUGAUAGCUUUUUGCAGCCCAAUUCGAUCAUCCAAAAUAUUAGCCAUCCCUCCCAGAUUUGUGUCAUCUGCAAAUCUGAUGAUCAUGGCAGGCUUGAUGAAUAUAUCUUAGAGAAUAUGGCCCAGGAUAGUCAUGGAUGAUGUUCCUACUCGCAGGCCCGAAAGAGUUGUGAGUUCGAGUUGGAGGCUGAUGAAGAAUCUGCUGACUGGACCUGAGACCCUGUACUUGGUGAGACUGUUCUUAAAUCUCUCCCUUUUGGACCGACACAUGGUGAGUGAAAAGAACUGACUCCUUUCUUGGAUUUUCUGAGGAGACUAGACUCAGGAGAGACCUACCCUCUUGAGAGAGGCUCCCUGCAUCCCCCAGGUCCUCCACUCAAAAGCCAAGGCCUCUCCUGCUAAGGACUAAACUCCCUGCCUGGGUUGAGCCAGGGAUCAGAGCAAAAUACUUAGAGCUUAGGCUAGAUAUCUUACUCUAUCCUCUCUCCAAUUUCCUACUUUAUCCUUUCUAUAUUUUGUAAAUAAAUUGUAAAUAAAAUCUCUUUGGAAUUUCA